CCUUGUUCACGUCAGAGUUGGGCAGAGAGAAAGGGAGCCUCGUUCAGCUCUUCCCCUCCACGUUUCCAUCAUCUCAGACCUUCAAAGCGAAUCAUCCAGACCUUCAAAAGAGAGAACCCAGGCCAUAAAUCGUCAUUCACCCUUCUCUUCUCACCUUUCCUGUCGUCCCUGGACACAUCAGUCUGUUUACGAGCCCUAAAACGCCUAGUUAGAGACCUCCGAUCAAAAAACUUUCUUCACCAAAGUUGUUCGUCUAUGUCUCCUCUAUCUAGCCUCAAAAUUUCAGCUCCAUUGGAGUUGAUUUGAGUCCUGUACACCCCUCGAAGUGGAAGCUGUUCUGAAACGAGCCUGUUCCGGAUUUCUGCUUGAAUUCCCUCUCUUGCUCUACCCGAAUCCCUCACAUCUUACUUGAGACUGAUACAAAUACUUGUUUCUGUUGCACUUUGCAUGUUCGAGAUUGAGCGAACUUCUUGGCCUGCGGCUGGACUCGAUCCAAUCAGCUCCCUCAGCUCUCUUUCCUUUGUUAUUACGAAUUCUUGA
rnacentral:lncRNA from 1 species